rnacentral:rRNA from 1 species
UACAGAGGUCUCAAGCGUUGUUCGGAAUUACUGGGCGUAAAGGGCGCGUAGGCGGCCUUCUAAGUCAGACGUGAAAUCCCUCGGCUCAACCGAGGAACUGCGUCUGAUACUGGAAGGCUUGAAUCCGGGAGAGGGAUGUGGAAUUCCAGGUGUAGCGGUGAAAUGCGUAGAUAUCUGGAGGAAACCCGGGGGCGGAGGCGGGUCUCUGGGCCGAUACUGACGCUGAGGAGCGAAAGCGUGGGGAGCGAACAGG